rnacentral:lncRNA from 1 species
AAAACACCGGAACACCAAAUUUGGAGUCCAAAACUGAAAUCACAAAACUGAAAUCCAAAAUCCACAUUUUGUGACAAAAAGAUAAAUCUGCAAAAACCGACAAAUGCUAUAAACGGAAAUCUGAAUUGGUCAACCUAUAAAUUGAGAUCAAAAGCUGACAAACUUCUAAAUUCCACUUGGUCGUAAAGGCUGAGCAUCGAUCAGUUUUCAGAAGAGAGACAUCAAAAAACCAAGUCCACGAAGGUAAACUUCAUCGCACUUUUCACAGAUCAAUUUCUUGUCGUAGACGAAGGACUUUCAAGUCAGUGAUAAAGCUCCGUUGCAUUUAUCACAGAUAGACCAUUCUUGUCCCAGACAAGGGACUCAGUUCAAGUCAACGAAAAACUCCGUUGCACUCAUCUCAGAACUUUCUUGGUGCCAAGAAGAGUGACUUUCAAGUCAGCGGAAAAAACUCCAUUGCACGUGCAGACUUCUCCUGACGAGGAAGAACGAAAUUCGGGUUAACAAAGAAAUCUCUUUUUCACUUAUCUGCUGUUGACGCAGAAGAGAUACUUCCAAGCAACGACUCAGAGGACAAACUCCACAACAGUAAGUCAUAUUUGAAUUGAGGUUUAACGAAACUGGUGGUAAUAAUGAUGUGCCAUGAAUACCAAACGAGUGGAAGAAAAUAGCGAUAAUCUAUUUUUUAUGAAACUAUGAUUUUUUUCCGCGCCUCAUUUACACAAGCGUCUAGCUGUCGUCUUGACUUCGUGUUGGAAUUUUCCGACAUUUUACGCUUUCGAUUUCGACAUUUUACGAUUUUGAUUUCGACAUUUUACGAUUUUACGAUCGUGCCGUAACUUCUUAAGUUUUGACAUUUCCUGAUAGGUUUCAAUGGUGAUAUCUGAUCUGAUCUGAAGCUUGUCUGCUCCAUUUCGGAGCAUAGCCCACUGACAAACUUCUCUAAUCCCCUCUGUCUCUGGCCAAGCACUCCAUCUGCGUCAAGGAGAAGCCGCCAUAACUUCAACAGGAAAGUGCGUUCUGUAUUCCCUUCUACAGCUGUUACGCGGUCUACCUCUCCCUCUCUUACCCUUUGGGUUCCCUCAGAGGACUUGUACGGCACUGCACUCACUAGGUCCGCUAAUUGUAUGGCCUAUCCACGACCAUUUCCUCUUCAUGAUCUGUUGUUUCACAGCAGCUCUUUGCCCUGUGAUCUCUCACAGGUUAAAGUUACUGACAGUAGAAGUCCAGAAAAUACAGAGGAUUCUGUGCAGACAGUUUUAACACUAUCUUCUCAGUCAUUCUCCAUGCUUCAGAGUGAUAGAGCAAAAUAGUCUUUGGAUUAGAAUUAAAUAAUCUCAUUUUUGUUGCUGUUGUUAUCUGUCCGGAUCUCCAGUUCCCCCUAAGAUAUUUAAUGCGCUACGCACUUUCCCAAUUCUUGACAGAACGUCCUAGUCCGUUCCACCAGUGAUCUUUAUGGCACUACCUAAGUACUUGAAGGAUGUCGCAUCUUCUCUUGACAUCUGUUUUGUUUUUGUGUACUCGGCGUGAGUUGUUUCUUUUUGCCAUCUUGUGCGUGCUUUGGUCAGGUUCUUCUUCUCUGAUCGCUUCUGACUGAUCUUAGAGAUUGUAUGAUUCGAUAUCCAUGCUUUGUUUUGUUGCUUCUUUCGACCCAGUACUCCUUCACUUGUGUUCAUCCACAACGUCUUUAGUUUUCCCCAACUCUCGCAUAUUUGGCCUGCAGGGUCCUUCAUAUCUUGGAAGACUUGGUAUUUAUUCCUGAUUGUGAUGGAAAAUUGCUCAGCUAUAUAGGCAUGACUUAGGGUUGAUGUCAUUAUUCAUUCU